rnacentral:tRNA from 3 species
GCGCCCGUAGCUCAACGGAUAGAGCAUCUGACUACGGAUCAGAAGGUUGGGGUUCGAAUCCCUCCGGGCGCA